rnacentral:ncRNA from 1 species
CAAGUUGCGUUGAAAGGGAUACAUUGCAAAGAGUAGCUUGAUUACAGAGAACCGAGGUAGCUGAGAAUCGGAAGAAAAGCCUUGUUGUAACAUCACCCUGGAGCAUCUCUCCUAAAGCUUUUAGUUAGUAGGCAGGGACGUGUUCUUCACGUUACAGAAGAAGCUGUUUAUACAGACAGUAUUAAGUGGUGAUAAUUAGCAAUAGUUAUCUCAAACAAAGUGGUACCACGGAAAUGAUUUAUCCGCCUUUGUU